rnacentral:rRNA from 1 species
ACUCCUACGGGAGGCAGCAGUGGGGAAUUUUGGACAAUGGGCGCAAGCCUGAUCCAGCAAUGCCGCGUGAGUGAAGAAGGCCUUCGGGUUGUAAAGCUCUUUUGUCAGGGAAGAAACGGCUGUGGCUAAUAUCCACGGCUAAUGACGGUACCUGAAGAAUAAGCACCGGCUAACUACGUGCCAGCAGCCGCGGUAAUACGUAGGGUGCAAGCGUUAAUCGGAAUUACUGGGCGUAAAGCGUGCGCAGGCGGUUUUGUAAGUCUGACGUGAAAUCCCCGGCGUCAACCUAGGGCAAUUGGCAGUUUGGAGAUGCUGCAAGGCUAGAAUCUGGCAGAGGGGGUAGGAA